rnacentral:misc_RNA from 1 species
GAUGAAGAACGUAGCGAAUUGCGAUAAGUAAUGUGAAUUGCAGAUUUUCAGUGAAUCAUCGAAUCUUUGAACGCACCUUGCGCUCCUUGGCAUUCCGAGGAGCAUGCCUGUUUGAGUGUCGUCGAAUUCUCAGAACCGCCUACCUGCGUCGGCGGAUUUUGGAUCGGUGGAGGAUGCAUUGGGCUGACUGACCCCUUGCUUCUCUGAAAUGGAUCGGCCUUGCGGCUUCGGUUGUCGGUAUGAUACAUGUCUUACCUGCUUCUGACCCGUGCCAGCCCGAACACAAACACACUCUCACGAUUUGACCUCAAAUCAGGCAGGACUACCCGCUGAACUUAAGCAUAUCAAUAAGCGGAGGA